rnacentral:tRNA from 1 species
GCGGGCGUAGCUUAAUGGUAAAGCCCCAGCCUUCCAAGCUGGUCAUGGGGGUUCGAUUCCCCCCGCCCGCU